GUUUUUCGGUUUUCUCAAUUUGAUUGUUUUUGCUGCUCCUGAUUUUUUGUGUCUUUAAAUCUCUGUUAGUUGUUUAUAGUAGUCGCAAUAUCUAUUCCUAGAUGGAUCUUGUGUUUACAGUUGCCUUUGGACAUGAAGACACUGUAAGUUCAUGCCACAGAGAGAAGGACGAAUAUAGUGCAUAAUUAUCUACUUGUGAG
rnacentral:misc_RNA from 1 species